rnacentral:rRNA from 1 species
GAUGAACGCUGGCGGCGUGCUUAACACAUGCCAGUCGAACGAUGAAGCCCAGCUUGCUGGGUGGAUUAGUGGCGAACGGGUGAGUAACACGUGAGUAACCUGCCCUUAACUCUGGGAUAAGCCUGGUAAACUGGGUCUAAUACCGGAUAGGAGCGUCCACCGCAUGGUGGGUGUUGGAAAGAUUUAUCGGUUUUGGAUGGACUCGCGGCCUAUCAGCUUGUUGGUGAGGUAAUGGCUCACCAAGGCGAAGACGGGUAGCCGGCCUGAGAGGGUGACCGGCCACACUGGGACUGAGACACGGCCCAGACUCCUACGGGAGGCAGCAGUGGGGAAUAUUGCACAAUGGGCGCAAGCCUGAUGCAGCGACGCCGCGUGAGGGAUGACGGCCUUCGGGUUGUAAACCUCUUUCAGUAGGGAAGAAGCGAAAGUGACGGUACCUGCAGAAGAAGCACCGGCUAACUACGUG